AGUUCUCAAACUCUCUCAAGAGCUCAAGAGCAUAACUUCCUCAAUUCUCAACGAAAUUUUGUGAUUCUUGUUGCUGAGAACUCGAAAUCUAUCUCUUUCUCCUUAUAAUCUCGGUUUUCCUCAAAGCAAGCUAAGGGCACGAUGGGGAGAGCCCGUGGAAGAGUGACCAAGGAAGACAAAGGAAAGGGACUUGCAUCUACUUCCCAAGACCAAGCUGUCACAGCAGAUGUCAAAAGUAUUAACUUACAAAAAAGUUUCAAUCUUUCUUUGAAAUGUUAUUAACUUGUUACAAAGUUUCAAUUAUUUUGCACU